CAGACUGAUUUAAAACAGCACCAGAGGAACCCGACUGAACAGAAAAUGAAGUUGCAAAAACUCUUCCAGGGUUAUCUGGAA